AUAUUUUCCAACAAUUUUGUGACCUCCUUGAAUAUGAAGGGGAAAGGUGGAAAUAUGCUUUAAGAGCACUAAUUUAUAUGGUGUAGUGAAAGUUCAUGUAAUUUUUUCAAAAUCGAAUAUGUGGAAAGGAGCUGUUUGGAAUGAAGAUUUACGAGAAGAAGUAAUUCUAUCUAAUUGGAUUAGUGAUAAAACUGUUUGUCGGCUUCCAAGUACCAAAGCAUUGGCUGCACUAAAAUGCAGAGAAGAAUUGGUUUAAAUUUAUACAAAUAAAAACUAAAUUUACUUAAGAGUAUAUUUGAAAAGUUAUAUGGCAUCGACGGAUAUGAAGGGCAAAAGUGGAAAAAAUGUUUUAAGAACACUAAUCUAUAUGGUGUUGAAAAAGAUAUACCUUCAUAAGUUGUAACACUUUUCCAUUCUUUAUAUAUUUUUUAAAUUUUCCCUUUUUGAUUUUUUUUAUAUAUUUUUUUUAUUUACAGCUUUUUCUAUUGUAUUUGAUGGACCAAAAGAAACCUCGGUUAAUGGAACAUUGUUUAACUUUCUAAAUUACGCUCUAUUUCAAAAAGGUGGUGGAAAAGAGAAGAAAUUUAUGAAGAUUUUAUUCAAUUAAAUG